UUCACCCAAGUGGAGGGCCUUCAAGUCACCUCCUAGCUCAUUGGAUCUUCCUUGUGAUUUUCUUCCUUUUGAUGCUCCUUUGCUCCUUGAGGAUGUGAGGAAAGGAUCUCCAAAAACACCAAAGAUUUGGUGUCUCUAAGUCUCCAUGCCAAGGAUGAGGUGUGAAGAUGAAAUGGAUGACUUAGAGAAGAAAAGAUUGCUAGCUAUAUCUUCUCUAAGUGGCCGGCCUCCUUUAGAGAAAAAGAGAGAAAAUGUUUCUCAUCUUUGCCUCAAGAAAACCCUAACUCGAUUACUCUUUCAAGCACCUAUUUGUUUGUCUUAGUGUCCAACACUAAAUGACUUAAGACUAACCAUACUCACGCUUGAGUUGACAUAACACAUACUAACCUUAGCGGAUUGUCAAUGCCUAAUUGGCAAUCCUAUGGCCAUGAAUGUUUUAGGAAUGAACAUAAGAGAAAGGUCUCGUUAAUCUAACUUAUUUAAAUCACUUCUCUCUUAGAUCAAAUACAUUCCUUGGAUUCCCUUAUUGCUUAAACACAUGAUACAAUAAAUAGUGAUUAACAAUAAGCUUUGCCCUUCAUUAAACAUAUAAUAGUUUAAUACAAUAAGUAUUCCAAAAGCUAUUACAUCAAAUGAGUGGCUUUGUGGGCAUACUUCCAACAGUUGAACCCUAACAAAUAUGCCUUCGGCGUAGGCUCUAGCAAAUUCUUAGGCUUCAUGAUAACCCAACGAGGCAUUAAGGUUAAUCUCGAGAAGAUCAAAGUAAUCAUCGACAUGAAGGAACCGGUAACUUCAAAAGACAUCCAGAGCCUUACUGGCAAGGUGGUAGGCUUAACUAGGUUCAUCUCUAAGGCCACAGACAGAGAUGUGUUCAUUUCUUCAAAGCACUUAAAGGAAGUAAGAAGUACAUUACUUAGACUGAUGAAUAUGCCGAGGCAUUCAAGAACCUCAAAGGCUACAUGAGUAAAGCCCAUUUGCUUUCCAAACCUGAGGUUGGUGACACUCUUAUUAUCUAUCUGUCGGUAUCGGCUUCAGCAGUAAGUUCCGUUCUCAUUCGAAAGGAUGGUAAUGUUGCACGGCCAGUCUACUAUACUAGCAAGGCCUUACAAGAUAUAAAGACACGAUAUUCCAACAUUGAGAAAUUGGCUUUAGCAUUGGUCAUGUCUGCUCGAAAACUUCGCCCUUACUUCCAAGCACACUCCAUUAUCGUGCUUACUAAUCAUCAUUUUCGACAGAUACUUCAAAGUCCUGACACUUCGGGGCGAAUGAUAAAAUGGGUGAUAGCAUUGGGUGAGUUUGACAUCUCCUACCAACCAAAGCCAGCUGAGAAGGGCCAAACAGUGGCAGACUUCAUCACUGACUUCACAUAUUCUGUUGACAUUGUUUAUACGCCUAAAGAAGUGGUUUCAUUACCAUCGAAAGCUCAGAAAAAAGAACCAACAUCCCCAGCAUGGAGUCUAUAUGUUGAUGGCUUGUCCAACCAACAGGGUUGUGGAGCAGGACUAGUCUUUACGACCCUUGACAAAGUGGUGAUGGAGUAUGCUCUUUGUUUCAAAUUUAAGGCGUCGAACAAUGAAGCUGAAUAUGAAGCCCUUCUAGCAGGCUUACGUUUGGCCAAACACCUUGGGGUUAAACGAAUUAAUAUCUUCAGUUACUCCCAAUUGGUGGUUAACCAGGUCGCCAACAACUUUGACGCUAAGGAUAGCUUCAUGGCAGCAUAUCUGGCACAAACACAAUUGUUGCUCAAGCAUUUGCACUACUAGAUCACCCAAAUUCCUCGAGCGGCAAAUAGCCAUGCAGAUGUUUUGACUCGCCUCGCCUCAGUGGUGGAAAACAAGAUUGGGAGAAAAAUUCAGGUCGAAUUGUUGGCAGCACCAAGCACCAUGGCUGCGGAAGUGUGCAACUUACAACAGGGGGAUACUUGGAUUACUGAUAGGAGCAUAUUUAUGCGACUUAGUUAGCUUGUUUCUUGGCAUUUAUGUUGUUAGUUCAUAGUUAUUUUAGUAUUUUAAGCUAUUUUCGUGUGUUUGUAGGUCCAAAGGGUUAAUGUGGCAAAGAAGUGCAUUUUUGGGCAUUUUUGGGCAUGGAAUGGAUAACAUAUGCUUGGAGCAAAAGGAAUGGACGAAAUUUGAAGUUUGUGCACCAUCCUCUCCCUAUAAAUAACCAUUUUAGCACACUCAUUUCACCCAACACAGCCACUCAUUACAACCACCCAACACAUUCACCUACCACUACAUCCACUCAUUUCACCCAACACAUCCAUUCACCUACCACUACAUCUACUCAUUUCACCUAACACAUCCACUCAUUUCACCCAACACAUCCACUCAUUUCACCCAACACAUCCACUCAUUACAACCACCCAACACAUUCACCUACCACUACAUCCACUCAUUUCACCCAACACAUCCACUCAUUACAACCAUCCAACACAUUCACCUACCACUACAUCCACUCAUUUCACCCAACACAUCCAUUCACCUACCACUACAUCCACUCAUUUCAACCACCCAACACAUUCACCUAUCACUACAUCCACUCAUUACCAUCACCCACUAUAUCCUCUCCCUAGCCUAUAAAUAUAUCCAUCCAAAGACACAUCCAGGGGGACAGUUUAGGGAGAAAAGAGGAAGACACAUUCUGCCGCAAGGCAGAGUCUUUUCUUCUUAACCAUUCUACACAUUCCCACAACAAAAACACAAUUCUAUGCACCUUCAUUUCCCUUUCCUUGCCGUGACCUCCAUCCAACCUAAACACAUUCAGCCAUUCCCUUCCAUAUAUCCAUAUGCAUCCAUCAAACCACACCUUGUGCUACAACAAAGGGAAGAAGGAGGACCCUUGGACGUGCUUGCCAUUCAAGUUGGAUUGUUGGAGCGUUUUUAGGUGUUUUCAUUCUUUUGUUUUCAAUGUCUAAAUUUGUUUAUCUUUGCUUUGUGAGUAUGAGGAACUAAACCCCCCUUAGCUAGGGGGGAAUUCAAAGCCAUGAACAUACUUGCAAUAUGAAUUGAUUACCUUCAGUUGUGAUUUCAUAAGUUGUGAAUUCAAUUUGUUUAACUGCUUGAUUGAUAACUUAUUUGUGUAUGUUUAUUAAAAGUGCACACUUAGUUUGCAUGCAUGAAUGUGAUGCUAGAGUAUAAGGGAGUUUUACCUAAUAGUUACAAACUUAUAUUCACAAGUAGUGGAGGUCGCUUAUAAACGAUCGCGUUAAAUGAAUUCUUGGUAGGAGUUUCAUGCUCAUCAUAGUAACGAAUGCCUCGUCAAUACUUAUAGUUUUCAUAAUGCUUAAUGAUCUUUGAUUGUAUCUUUAUUGUGCGAAAGGGACUUUUGAAGAAUGCUUGAAUUGUUGUAUGCGCUUUUCCAUCCAAUUCAAUAACUUAAGGAGAACUUAAAGGUUAAUUUAAGCCGACUUAAUUAACCUGGGGUGUUGAGUUUCAUGAUUUAUCGAAAGAACAAUUGAAAAUUGGUUUAUGUGCAAGUGUGUCAUGUGUGGAGAAGAACCCUCUAGCUAGCCCAUCAUCCAUAGUUUACCCAAAUUCUUCGAAAAUCUGUUUUAGUUUACAAUCUGUUUGUUUUGUUUUCAAAUUCGUCAAAAUCAAAUCCCCCUUUACUUUAAAGUGUUUUAUUAGUCAAAAUCUGUUUUGAUUUGUGUUUUUAAGUGUCUUGAGUCAAGUUAGAACCUAAUUUUGUCCAAAACCAUCCCUAGAGUCAGUUUAGAGUCUAAUUCAUUGUUUUAAGCUGUUUUGAGUCUUUUAAACUAGUUUUGAGUCUUUUUAGUUUGUGUUGCAUCUUUUGAAUCUAGUUUGGUGUUUUAAACUUAAUUUUAUGUUUUUAAGUCAGUUUAGAAGUUAUUAGCAAGCCCUCCUAAUCCCCGGUCCAGAACAAUCCCUACUUACAUUCUUUACUACAAUUGAUUUUGUGUGUUAAGUAAAAUUCGCAUCAAAUUUUUGGCGCAGUUGCUGGGGAUUAGCAACUUUGCUAAUCCCUUGUUAUUUCUUUUUGUAUAUUUUUGUGUCUUUUGUUUUUAGUUACUGACUUUGUUUCUGUUUGUGUUUUUUGUUUGUUUGUUUUACUUUUGAUAUUUGAUUUAGUUUUGUUUCCUUGAUUUUAGGUACUAGAGAAGUAAGACAUGGAUUUUGCUACCAUUCAAGCUCAAUUGGCAAAACUUACUUGUCAAUUGUCACAAUAUCCCGAAAGGACCACAAUGCAAAGUGUCCCUACAUAUGGUAUGUCCUAUGGGCAAGGAUAUCCAACUCAUUAAUGUUUUCAAUUCGCUGCGAAUGAAGAUGCUUGGGGUUAUCAAAGCCAUAGCCAAUCAUGGGACAACAUGUUUUCCAACGCUUACAAUUCGGAUUUGAGAGAUUAUUCAGAUUACAUGUAGGGAGAACCUCAAUAAUUCCAACAAGAUGAAUAUUGGCAGCAAGAAGAGGAGUUCUAUUUAAGACCUAUGCAACCACCACAACCUCCUUCACAACAAUUCCAAUCAAAUUCAAGUAUGCCUAUGAGUUAUGAUGAAAAUCUUAAUGUACUAACCUCGUUGACGCAGGGCUCAUAACAAGAAGAAUAUUUGCUGCCAUCGGAUGAGUUCUAUCACUGGCCAUAUGAACCAUCACAGCAACCACAACAAUCUGCCCAAUUCAAUUCAGGUACGUUUUUGGAUAAUGAUAUGUUUAAUAAGUUACUCACCUCUUUGAACUAGGAAGUAGAAAAUCGAAACAAAGAGAUGCAAAAUUAAGCCAAGAAGACGGGUGAAUUGGAGAAGCAAAUUGGGUAGAUUAUGAAGUUCAUCGCACAAAUUCAAGAGCAAAGUGAACUCUCCAACUCAACUAUUGAAAAUUUGAAGGAAGAUUUUGAAAUCUAUGAUGCUAUCACUUUGGGAAGUGCUAUGGAGGUUGGAGGUGAACCCAAGACAUCCAAACCAAGCCAAAACAUGGAUGAACAACUGUUGCUCAAAGAAGAGGAGAAUAGCAAGGCCACGGCAAGGGAAGAACCACCCUUGCCGCAUCCCCAUAUGCCCUCUAUGCCAUCCACUACAACCAAGGUAAGCCUAAAUUCAAUUUGUCCUGACCCCGUUUCACCAAAUUUCCUUAUUCCUUGCAGGAUCAUGCAAUCCAAUGAAGAAGAGGGUGAGAAAGGCUUAUUCGAAACCUUUCCAAAGAAUCAAGAGCAAGAAGUGGAUGGGGAGUGUCUAGAAUUCAUCAAAGAAGAUACACUUGAGACGAAAAUUCCCAAAGAAGUUGGAUUUUAUGACACAGGAAAAGUCAUAACUCUCAAAACACCAAAUCUGGCCAAGUCCCAUAUCAUUGAUGUGGUGUUCGUAAUUGAGUUUGUGUUGGAGCAAGCAAGUAAGCCAUCUUCUCCAACUUCGAUUUUAUUAUAUACUAACUUGCUGAUUUUGAUGAUUCAGGCACCUACACUAGAAUUUAAACCAUUGCCGGAUCACGUCAAGUAUCACCUUCCAUUCAAGGAUCAAUUCCAUGCUCUGGGCCCUAUCCAAGUUUAGAAGGAAGUUUCAUCCGGCUGGAAGACGUUAAAGCAAGCGCUUCUUGGGAGGCAACCCAUGUAUUCAAAUAAGGAAGAUUUUUGAAUUACUCUACGAUUGGUUUUGCGUUCCUAAAAACCAUCUCUUUUCUGCAGUUUUUUUUGCCAUGAUUGUCAUUUUAUUUGUUGCUUGUUUAAUGGUUUUUGGUGUGGGUUUAUUUUUGAAACAUUGACAGAUAUGCAAGGUAUUUUACAUUCAUUUUCAUAAAAAAAAAGGAACAUUAAGCAGAAAAAUACAAGAGAGAGCCUUCACAAAGGCUGCUUAGGAGAAGUCUCAGUAGUCGGCGGAGCCCCAGAAGGAGGAGGCAUCUGAGGUUGAUCAUUUGGAGCUUCAUUACGCGGUACAGCCCCAGAAGACGAAGGCAAAUGCUG
rnacentral:lncRNA from 1 species